ensembl:lncRNA
CGACAGUUACUGAAUGGACGUCUAACUUCAGGGCUAUGUGCGCCUUUUCCUCAGCAUGCGGUGACUGCGGCGUGGAGUGAGUGACCUAGCAAUCUAAAAGCCAAUUAAAAGUGAUUUGCGUUCUGGAAUGAGCCAAGAAAGACUCAAGAGUUUGGCUAGGCUCUUUAUUGAAACGCAAUAUGCCAGAAAACUUGACUUUACCGACAUCAUCAGGUGUUUUGCUCCGAAGUUCAGCGUGUUCGCGAUGGACAAUAGAGCAGUCUACAUCACCUAUUGUGUGAGGCUGACCCGCUGUUUCCCGUCUGGCCCUCAGAAAGUGGGGAGGGACUUCCUCGGCGGUCCUUAUCAGUCUGAACCACAGUCCUCCACCCAGGAUUUACACUGCCCCCAGCGCAUGAUACCUCCCACCCAGCGACCCAGAGAAACAACAGAGAGAGGAAGACCGAGAGACAGUAAAAGAGAGAGAGGGGCAUAGUGAGAGAAACGAGACAGUAAAAGAGAGAGAGGGGCAUAGUGAGAGAAACGAGAAAAAGAAAGGAGAGAGACAGAGAUGUUGAGGGAGAAUGUGGAAGAAAACAAGGAAAGAUGACAAGAAAAAGAGAAAGACAGGCACACUCAGAGACCAACUUCUGGCUGAGCUGAACUGCAUGGUUCCAUGGUUGUGUGUUAUCCUCUGUUCUCUUUAGAGUAAACAGCAAUCUGUGAGGCCCCAUUUUGUUGAUAUCAGAAGGGAGAUAAGGAGAGUAUAUAUAGCAGUAACAUUUCCCUCCAGUUACUGUUUAGGUUUACUGUUAAAAGGUGUUCAGGUGGUUUAAUGUUUAAACAGUGUUCAGGUGGUUUAAUGUUUAAACAGUGUUCAGGUGGUUUAAUGUCUAAAAGGUGUUCAGGUGGUUUAAUGUCUAAAAGGUGUUCAGGUGGUUUAAUGUUUAAACGGUGUUCAGGUGG